ensembl:lncRNA
CCUGCAGCACGAGACCUUGGAGCUGUUGCAUGCAGUCAGCUUGCAACCCCCCGAAAUCCCAACUAAACGUUGGUGCUGUGCAGUGUUGCUCCAUCCCAAUAGCUCUUUCCAAGCCUGGCUCUGGGAGCUGCAAAAGCAUCGCUCCUCCUGACUGGGGUGCAAAUAAUGAGGGUUUAUCAUAAAUGUGAGCGAUAACCAUACUUGUGCUGCGGCUCCUUUUUGUGUUCCAGGUGCACGGCGCAGUGUCUGCCCCCCAGGUUUGAGGCAGCCACAAGGAGAGGGGGCAAAGGGGAAAUCCUUUGCCCUCAAUGGUUCAUCUAGUGGCCUGGAAAGGAAUAAGGGGGGGGGGGAGGGGGGGGGGAGAGGGAGGAGUGUUGUUAUUAUUGUCAUCAGCGUUAUUAUUUGAGCAGCACUCGGGCCCAUGGGCUGAUAAAUGGGUGCCAUCCUCAUUGUUCCCACUUUGCAGUGGAAGCAGAAAUCGUUUCUUAGGGCUUUUUUGGUCUUUUUUUUUUUUUUCCCUAUUUUUUUUUCUCCUUUUCCUCAUUUUUUUUUUCUUUUUCCUCUUUUUCGCCUCAUUUUUCUCCUUUUCCCUCUUUUUUUUUCUCAUCUUUUUCUUCUUUUUCCUUUCUUCUAUUUUCCCUUUUCUCACCCUUUUCUUCUUUUUCUUCUUUUUUCUCCCUCUUUUCUUUUUUUCUGUUUUUUCAUCUUUUUUUCUCUUUCUCCUCUUUUUCCUUUUUCCUUUUUUCUUUUUCACUUUUUCCCCUCUUUUUCUUCUCUUUUUUCUCUUCUCUUUUUUCUUACUUUUUUCUCUUUCCUUUCUUUUUUUUCCUCUCUUUUCCCCCUCCUUUUCCUCUUUUCUUUCUCACUUUCCUCUUUUUUCUCUUUUCCACCUUUUUUUCCCCUUUUUCCUCUCUUUUAUCUUUUUUCCUCUUUUUUUCUUUUUCCUUUUUUCUUUCCUCUUUUUUUUCUCCCUUUCUCCUUUUUCUUCUUCUUUUUCUUCUUUUUUCCUCUUUUCCUCUCUUUUUUAUUCUUUUUCCCCUCUCCUUUCUCCUUUUUCAUCCAUUGUCCUCUUUGCUCCUCUUUUUUCUUUUUUUCCUUUUUCCUCUUUAUUUUCUUUUUCCUCUCCGUUUUCUUACUUUUUUUCUGCUUUUCCUCUUUUUUCCUCCUUCUUUUCCUCUUUCCUCUCAUUUUUCUUUUUCCUCUUUUCCUCCUUUUUCUCUUUUUCUGUUUUUCAUCUUUUUCCACUUUUUUCCCUUUUUCCUCUUUUUUUCUUUUUUCCUCUCUUUCUUCUCUUUUCCAUCUUUUUUUUUACCUUUUCCUCUCUUUCUUCUUUUUCCUUUCUCCUUUCUCUUUUUUUCUCUUUUUUCUUCAAUUUCCUCUUCUUAUUCUUUUUCCUUUUCUCUUUUCUCCUUUUCUCUCUUUUUCUCUUUUCCUCUUUUUCUUCUACUUUUUCUCUUUCCUCUCUUUUUUAUUUUUCCUCUUUUCCUCUUCUUCCUUUUUCCUUUUUAUCUUCUUUCUUCUCUUUUCUUUUUAUUUUUUUCUGUUUUCUCUCCUUUUUCACUCUUUUUCAUCUUUUUCUUCUCUUUUCCCUCUUUUUCCUCCUCUUUUUCUUUUUUCUUUUUCCUUUUUCCUUCAAUUUCAGAUUCAUGCUCCGCAGCGCAAACUGGAAAAAUUCAUCUUAAACUGCUAAAAUCAGGCAGGUCGAGACCUUUCUGUUAACAAUCCUCCACUCCAUCCUUGAAAUCGAAAGUAGUGAAGGAUUUUGCAGAAAAUAAUGGAUCAUUUUCCCAUUUACCCACGAUUCAAGGAUUAAUAACUAAUCCCAUCAAAGGACAUCUGCUUAGAUUGUUCCUUGUCAGUGAAAGUAAAUAGAGCCUUUUAGUCUUUAGACCUGAACUCC